CGAAAGGCACUAAAGAGAAGCCAAGAUGAAGCUCCAGGCUGUAGCUGUCGUUCUUCUCGUCCUUCUCAUUUGCCCGCAGGAGAGUGAAUUGGCUCCUGAUCCUUUCCUUGGAGAUGUUUUCAAAAUUCCUGGUAAAGUUUUUGGCAGAUUUAGAGACGCUUUUAAGAGAUUCAAAAAUAGAAGAACCUGCUCUUUAAGGCGCACCUGAAGAACAACCUGCUCCUCAACUUGCAUCUGAAAAUUAACGGAGAUGAUUUGCUGACUAUGUUGUACCACGUUCAUGAUGACAGGCUUCUCUUUUGCCAUUUGUGCUGUCCAACCAAGCUGAUACAAUAAAAUAUAGACAUAUUCUAUA